rnacentral:misc_RNA from 1 species
AUGAAUUUUAGGACGUUCUUUUUAGAAGUCCGACCCUUUCAUUUUCUUACACUGUGCACACACUUCUUUUUUACACACACUUUUAACACCUUAGUAUAAGAAUGUAAUAGUCUCUUUAUUGAGCAUAAAAAAAAAUAAAACUUUCAGCAACGGAUCUCUUGGCUCUCGCAUCGAUGAAGAACGCAGCGAAUUGCGAUAAGUAAUGUGAAUUGCAGAAUUCAGUGAAUCAUCGAAUCUUUGAACGCACCUUGCACUCUUUGGUAUUCCGAAGAGUAUGUCUGUUUGAGUGUCAUGAAACUCUCAACCCCCCUAUUUUGUAAUGAAAUGGGCGUGGGCUUGGAUUAUGGUUGUCUGUCGGCGUAAUUGCCGGCUCAACUGAAAUACACGAGCAACCCUAUUUAAAUAAACGGUUUGACUUGGCGUAAUAAUUAUUUCGCUAAGGACGUUUUCUUAAAAUAUAAGAGGUGCUACUAAUUCGCUAUUAUAGCAUUUAAGCUU